rnacentral:snRNA from 8 species
AUACUUACCUGGCAAGGGAGACACCGUGAUCAAGAAGGCGGUUCACCCAGGGCGAGGCUCAGCCCUUGCACUCCGGCUGUGCUGACCCCUGCGAAUUUCCCAAAUGUGGAAAUCUCGAUUGCAUAAUUUCUGGUAGUGGGGGACUGCGUUCGCGCUCUCCCCUG